rnacentral:rRNA from 1 species
GUAAUGUCUGGGAAACUGCCUGAUGGAGGGGGAUAACUACUGGAAACGGUAGCUAAUACCGCAUAACGUCGCAAGACCAAAGAGGGGGACCUUCGGGCCUCUUGCCAUCAGAUGUGCCCAGAUGGGAUUAGCUAGUAGGUGGGGUAACGGCUCACCUAGGCGACGAUCCCUAGCUGGUCUGAGAGGAUGACCAGCCACACUGGAACUGAGACACGGUCCAGACUCCUACGGGAGGCAG